GCGAGAGUGGCGGAAUUGGUAGACGCGCUAGAUUUAGGUUCUAGUGUCGAAAGGCGUGAGAGUUCGAGUCUCUCCUCUCGCACCA
rnacentral:tRNA from 1 species